UAUUUGAUAAAUUAGUUCCCUAGUUAUUACGUACGAGCAAGGCUGUGAUCACAAUGUGCUUCUUCUUCAACUUAUUCCCUCAUCAGACAUCAAAUCCUUUCCGAGACACACAUCAAAUGUGUAUUUAACAGCAACAAGUAAUUGCUUGAAAAAAAAUAUUUGUCACACCCCUUAAUUCAAGAUAAACUACUGUCUAAAGAUCGGAUUUACGACAAUGUUGGAUGAAUAGUAGGAAUAUGUCAGUGGUUACGGGUAUUGCUUCAUUUAUUUGCAUUCCGAUUUCAGGAAUAAGUGAUAGGCUAACUGGCAAGAACAGAUUUAAAAGAAGACAUACAGUUGAUUGACGUCAUCAAGGACCGAACUAUAUAAGUUUUAGGACUGAUGUGCAGGGCUGAACUGGAGGGGACUGAAGUCUUUUAGUCCUAAAUAAGGCCUGACAUAACACUAACAUACGAAUAGAGAUGCCAUUGGAUCUUGGGAUUUUAUGCACGCAACAAUAAGUGAUUACAUUCUUUUGAUUAUAUUAAUUAUCAAAGUUUGUUUAUCUAAAGCCAUCAGAGCUUACUACUCGUUCAGAACUCGUUUCGCUUGAUAACAAAACUUGCACAGAGGAAUGUUCAUCACGGAAACAAAGAUAGGGAUAAAAUGCAUACAGAAAAUGAUUCUAUACACUUAACAACAGAUAUUAUUGGAGGUGACUAUGAAAAAUAACUUAUUCUCAUGUGUUGAUUCUUCGGAUUUUGAGGAAAUAAUCUUGGGCUAUUGUAAAAUUAUGACUGGCAUCCCUGAAUACAAUUAACAUGGAGAAUUAUUCGAAUACAAAGAAGAAAGUGUGACCAAUUCAUCUCAUAAAAGAAUUUAGUGGGAUUGUAAUCCGUUCAUUAGUCCGCUGGAGUCAUUUACUCUCCAGUGAGCCCAGUGCCGUAACUGCAAGGUGCACUAAGGAGCAUCGCCUCUCCAAAACGAUUAUUGUACUCCAGAGUCAAAUAUAAACAUAAUUGAUAUUUUCCACUAAAACUGCUGAAUUUUCUCAAUAAAUAAGAAUUAUACUUUCAAAUGUUGGGGUUUUCCUAUAAAAUAAAGAUCAUAAAUUUUUUUCAGGAAUAAAUAAAUAAAAAUGUCAAUCUUCUAAGAAUAUUCUAGUCAUGGACCUGAUCUCUUAUAUAAUUUGGAGUGCCCCUCCAAUGAUUACAUGUCUUAGUGAGCCGAAGUACACAUUUUUCAAAUUAAGUAGCCAAACUAAGUGACUUUUAAUAUUUCAAUCCUUAUAAAAAUUAUUGUUUGUUGUAGAUCUGUUCAUUUUUAUUCUUACCAAUGGAUUUAUUGUACUUAACUACCAAUUUUUGAAAUAAAUAUGUGUUCAAA
rnacentral:lncRNA from 1 species